rnacentral:rRNA from 1 species
UACGUAGGGGCUAGCGUUAUCCGGAAUUACUGGGCGUAAAGGGUGCGUAGGUGGUUUCUUAAGUCAGAGGUGAAAGGCUACGGCUCAACCGUAGUAAGCCUUUGAAACUGGGAAACUUGAGUGCAGGAGAGGAGAGUGGAAUUCCUAGUGUAGCGGUGAAAUGCGUAGAUAUUAGGAGGAACACCAGUAGCGAAGGCGGCUCUCUGGACUGUAACUGACGCUGAGGCACGAAAGCGUGGGGAGCAAACAGGAUUAGAUACCCUGGUAGUCCCUGAG